GAUGAAGAACGCAGCGAACUGCGAUAAGUAAUGUGAAUUGCAGAAUUCAGUGAAUCAUCGAGUCUUUGAACGCACAUUGCGCCCCCUGGCAUUCCGGGGGGCAUGCCUGUCCGAGCGUCAUUGCUGCCCUUCAAGCCCGGCUUGUGUGUUGGGUCGUCGUCCCCCCCGGGGGACGGGCCCGAAAGGCAGCGGCGACACCGCGUCCGGUCCUCGAGCGUAUGGGGCUUUGUCACCCGCUCGAUUAGGGCCGGCCGGGCGCCAGCCGGCGUCUCCAACCUUCUAUUUUACCAGGUUGACCUCGGAUCAGGUAGGGAUACCCGCUGAACUUAAGCAUAUCAAUAAGCGGAGGA
rnacentral:misc_RNA from 1 species